UACGGAGGGUGCAAGCGUUAUCCGGAUUCACUGGGUUUAAAGGGUGCGUAGGUGGGUAGGUAAGUCAGUGGUGAAAUCUCUAAGCUUAACUUAGAAACUGCCGUUGAUACUAUUUAUCUUGAAUAUAGUGGAGGUGAGCGGAAUAUGUCAUGUAGCGGUGAAAUGCUUAGAUAUGACAUAGAACACCGAUUGCGAAGGCAGCUCGCUACACUAUUAUUGACACUGAGGCACGAAAGCGUGGGGAUCAAACAGG
rnacentral:rRNA from 1 species